AAUGGGGAGCACCUACAUUUGAUGCAGGCGAAGCGUUUGCCAUGAUGAUGGCAUCUUUUGUUGCUCUUGUAGAGUCUACUGGAGCUUUCAUUGCCGUAUAUAGGCAUGCAAGUGCAACACCAUUACCGCCUUCUAUUCUUAGUCGAGGUAUCGGUUGGCAGGGAGUUGGCAUUUUGUUAUCAGGAUUGUUUGGAACAAUUACCGGAUCGUCCGUGUCUGUGUAAGAAUGAAAUUAUUCUGUUUGUAUUAUUUACUAAGAGCAAGCAAACACUAGUAGAAAUGAAAGUGAUUUAUUUUGUUUUCUAUACAGAGAAAAUGCAGGUAUUUUAAUCUCAAAUGACUGAGAUG